rnacentral:rRNA from 1 species
AACGAACGCUGGCGGCGUGCCUAACACAUGCAAGUCGAGCGCGAACGACCCCUUCGGGGGACUAGUAGAGCGGCGGACAGGUGAGUAAUACAUGGAUAAUCUCCCUUCGAGCUCGGGAUAACAGUGCGAAAGCGCUGCUAAUACCGGAUAAGACCACGAGGCCCAGGCCUUGCGGGAAAAGGUGGCUUUGUUUUCGGAUGAGGCUAUCCCUUGAUGAUGAGUCCAUGGCCUAUCAGCUUGUUGGCGAGGUAACGGCUCACCAAGGCGAUGACGGGUAGCUGGUCUGAGAGGACGACCAGCCACACUGGGACUGAGACACGGCCCAGACUCCUACGGGAGGCAGCAGUGGGGAAUAUUGGGCAAUGGGCGAAAGCCUGACCCAGCGACGCCGUGUGGGUGAUGAAGGCCUUCGGGUCGUAAAGCCCUGUCGGGUGGAAAGAAGGGCUUCUGGAUGAAUAAUCCAGGAGCUUUGACGGUACCACCAGAGGAAGCACCGGCUAACUCCGUGCCAGCCGCCGCAGUAAGAC